UUCCGGUUGAUCCCGCCGGAGGCGACCGCUUUGGGAGUUCGAUUAAGCCAUGCGAGUCGUGAGUCUUAGGGACUCGGCGUACUGCUCAGUAACACGUGGAUAACCUGCCCUAUCGUCUGGAAUAACCUCGGGAAACUGAGAAUAAGGCCGGAUAGUUCACAAUGCCUGGAACGGUUUGUGAAUCAAGGUAGGAUGGGUCUGCGGCGUAUCAGGUUGUAGGGGGUGUAAAGGACCCCCUAGCCUUCGACGCGUACGGGUGUUGGGAGACAUAGCCCGGAGAUGGAUUCUGAGACACGAAUCCAGACCCUACGGGGUGCAGCAGGCGCGAAAACUUCACACUGCAGGAAACUGUGAUGAGGGAACUCCUAGUGCAUGCACUAUGUGUAUGUAGAUCCUACUCUUAACAAGUAGAGGGAAAGGGCUGGGAAAGACCGGUGCCAGCCGCCGCGGUAAUACCGGCAGCUCAAGUGGUCGUCGCUUUUAUUGGGCCUAAAACGUCCGUAGCCUGUUUGGUAAAUCUGUGGGUAAAUCAAUCCGCUCAACGGAUUGAAUUCUGCAGAGACUGCCAGACUAGGGACCGGGAGAGGUGUGGGGUACUCGAGGGGUAGGGGUAAAAUCCUGUCAUCCUUCGAGGACCACCAGUUGCGAAGGCGCCACACUGGAACGGAUCCGACGGUCAGGGACGAAGCCUAGGGGCACGAACCGGAUUAGGUACCCGGGUAGUCCUAGGUGUAAACGCUGUGAACCUGGUGUCGGGGGUCCGCAAGGGGUCCCCGGUGCCGGAGUGAAGAUGUUAAGUUCACUGCCUGGGGAGUACGGUCGCAAGGCUGAAACUUAAAGGAAUUGGCGGGGCAGCAC
rnacentral:rRNA from 1 species